rnacentral:rRNA from 1 species
UACGUAGGGUGCGAGCGUUGUCCGGAAUUAUUGGGCGUAAAGAGCUCGUAGGCGGUCUGUCGCGUCGGUCGUGAAAACUUGGGGCUUAACCCUGAGCUUGCGGUCGAUACGGGCAUGACUGGAGUUCGGCAGGGGAGACUGGAAUUCCUGGUGUAGCGGUGAAAUGCGCAGAUAUCAGGAGGAACACCGGUGGCGAAGGCGGCUUUCUGGACCAAUACUGACGAUCAGGUGCGAAAGCGUGGGGAGCAAACAGG